AUAAAAGUAAUGACGAGAACCAGUAGUUUGUGAAAUGGUGAGAAGAGAUUGGAACUCAAAGGCUGAGAAGUUCCAGCACCCUAUACACGAAUGAACCUAUUCUAAGAGCUGUUAAGAUAAACUUAAUCGUUACUCUGCGUUAAAGAGUUAAGGGGGGGAUCACAACAGAUGAUGUGAUCAACAUAAGGUGGUACCGCGGAAAGACUCUUUUCGUCCUUUAU
rnacentral:ncRNA from 1 species